AACGAACGCUGGCGGCAUGCCUAACACAUGCAAGUCGAACGAGACCUUCGGGUCUAGUGGCGCACGGGUGCGUAACGCGUGGGAACCUGCCUUUAGGUUCGGAAUAACUCAGAGAAAUUUGAGCUAAUACCGGAUGAUGUCUUCGGACCAAAGAUUUAUCGCCUUUAGAUGGGCCCGCGUUGUAUUAGCUAGUUGGUGGGGUAAAGGCAUACCAAGGCGACGAUCCAUAGUUGGUCUGAGAGGAUGAUCAGCCACACUGGGACUGAGACACGGCCCAGACUCCUACGAGAAGCAGCAGUGGGGAAUAUUGGACAAUGGGCGAGAGCCUGAUCCAGCAAUGCCGCGUGAGUGAUGAAGGCCUUAGGAUUGUAAAGCUCUUUUAACCGAGAUGAUAAUGACAGUAUCGGGAGAAUAAGCUCCGGCUAACUACGUG
rnacentral:rRNA from 1 species